GUUCUGGUGAUUCGAUAUGGUGGUCACACCUGUUCUCAUUCCGAACACAGAAGUUAAGCACCGUUAUGCCGAUGAUACUCUUUUAUGGGGAAAGUAGGUUGUCGCCAGAACA
rnacentral:rRNA from 5 species